rnacentral:rRNA from 1 species
UACGGAGGAUCCGAGCGUUAUCCGGAUUUAUUGGGUUUAAAGGGUGCGCAGGCGGGAGAUUAAGUCGGCGGUGAAAUUUUGCAGCUUAACUGUAAAAGUGCCAUCGAUACUGGUUUCCUUGAGUGUAGAUGAAGUAGGCGGAAUUUGUGGUGUAGCGGUGAAAUGCAUAGAUAUCACGAGGAACUCCGAUUGCGCAGGCAGCUUACUAAACUACUACUGACGCUCAUGCACGAAGGCGUGGGGAUCAAACAGGAUUAGAUA